GCUCUUUCUGCUGGUUAUAAGGUAUUUGGUGAUCUAUCCUAGUACUAGCAGGCUAUAAAUUUAUACAUCCAGUUAUCACUACAAAACUAAAACUAGAUAAUUGUUGUUGUAGACGGAAGAACUUGAGCAGGACUCGAUGCAUAGACUUUUUGAAUGCUCCAUUGAUGUACUUGUGAAUAUUGAUCAGGUUUCCUCUGUUAAGCCACAUGUUGACUUUGGAUUAAAAGUACUUGGUGCAAAUGCUAUGUCCAUUCCUGGCCUAUAU